GAUGAACGCUGGCGGCGUGCCUAACACAUGCAAGUCGAACGGAGUUUAUGAAGUUUUCGGAUGGAUUAAACUUAGUGGCGGACGGGUGAGUAACGCGUGGGUAACCUGCCUCAUACAGGGGGAUAACAGGUGGAAACGACUGCUAAAACCGCAUAACAUUGCGACACCGCAUGGUGAUGCAAUUAAAUAUUGAUAGGUAUGAGAUGGGGCCGCGUCUGAUUAGCUAGUUGGUGAGGUAAGGGCUCACCAAGGCGACGAUCAGUAGCCGGCUUGAGAGAGUGACCGGCCACAUUGGGACUGAGACACGGCCCAAACUCCUACGGGAGGCAGCAGUGGGGAAUAUUGCACAAUGGGGGAAACCCUGAUGCAGCGACGCCGCGUGAGUGAAGAAGUAUUUCGGUAUGUAAAGCUCUAUCAGCAGGGAAGAAAAUGACGGUACCUGACUAAGAAGCCCCGGCUAACUACGUGCCAGCCGCCGCUGUAA
rnacentral:rRNA from 1 species